rnacentral:rRNA from 1 species
UAGGGAAUCUUCGGCAAUGGGGGCAACCCUGACCGAGCAACGCCGCGGGAGUGAAGAAGGUUUUCGGAUCGUAAAGCUCUGUUGUAAGAGAAGAACGUGUGUGAGAGUGGAAAGUGCACACAGUGACGGUAACUUACCAGAAAGGGACGGCUAACUACGUGCCAGCAGCCGCGGUAAUACGUAGGUCCCGAGCGUUGUCCGGAUUUAUUGGGCGUAAAGCGAGCGCAGGCGGUUUAAUAAGUCUGAAGUUAAAGGCAGUGGCUUAACCAUUGUUCGCUUUGGAAACUGUUAAACUUGAGUGCAGAAGGGGAGAGUGGAAUUCCAUGUGUAGCGGUGAAAUGCGUAGAUAUAUGGAGGACCACCGGUGGCGAAAGCGGCUCUCUGGUCUGUAACUGACGCUGAGGCUCGAAAGCGUGGGGAGCAAACAGG